CAGCACCAUUUACAUCCAUUUGUGCGAAAUGAGCUGGAAGUACUGCUGAAAUACAUCUACCAUGCAUGAAUUGGCUGUCGGAAGGUGUGCUUUGGCUUUUCGGUUUCUUUCCCAUGUAGAAGUGUAGGAAACAUUGCGUCGCGACGAAUUGAAUUUAUUGCAAAAUCGAGUUUACUGCUCCAUUAGCUGCAAUUAGGGAGGAAGGAGAUCGUUCGCCAUGAGACUCAAUCAUUUCUCGUUUUUUGAUUAGAUAUGAAUUCUUUUUUGCUUCGAGAUGCACUCGUUCACAUCUAUCCUGAUGGGAACCAGAAGAGCAGAACCCCGUCGAAGGGGGCAGUUAAUCAGACCCAAAUUGGAUGACCUAAAGCGGGAGGCAAUAAAAUCCGCUGUAUUUUCGACCGGAUAUUUUCCUAGGACUGGAGUGUUGAAAGUUCUAAUUUACUGACGACCGCACCGUGGAGAAAUGAAGUUGUUAACUAAUACGACCUGUUAUACUGUUAAUGGAGAACACAAUAACGAAGGCACACGCAAUAUGGGUGUAAAUUGGGGGAAAUUUAUGGAAAUUGUUUGAGUAAUCUAAUAUUUGCAAGCUGCACAACGGAGUGAGAAUAUCAAUGUUUGCAUCUAUAGUAUUACCUAGGAUUUAAAAGAUUAUAGAAUAAGAUUGGUAACUGCCUGAAUAACUACUAAAAAAUAAAAAAAAUAAUUGAUGUACAUUAA